rnacentral:rRNA from 1 species
AUUGAACGCUGGCGGCAUGCUUUACACAUGCAAGUCGAACGGUAACAGGUUAAGCUGACGAGUGGCGAACGGGUGAGUAUGCAUCGGAACGUGCCCGAUCGUGGGGGAUAACGCAGCGAAAGCUGCGCUAAUACCGCAUACGAUCUGAGGAUGAAAGCGGGGGACCGUAAGGCCUCGCGCGAUCGGAGCGGCCGAUGUCAGAUUAGGUAGUUGGUGGGGUAAAGGCUCACCAAGCCGACGAUCUGUAGCUGGUCUGAGAGGACGACCAGCCACACUGGGACUGAGACACGGCCCAGACUCCUACGGGAGGCAGCAGUGGGGAAUUUUGGACAAUGGGCGCAAGCCUGAUCCAGCAAUGCCGCGUGCAGGAAGAAGGCCUUCGGGUUGUAAACUGCUUUUGUACGGAGCGAAAAGGCUCUCUCUAAUACAGGGGGCUCAUGACGGUACCGUAAGAAUAAGCACCGGCUAACUACGUGCCAGCAGCCGCCGUAA